CUACGGGUGGCUCCAGUAAGGAAUAUUGCGCAAUGGAGGCAACUCUGACGCAGCCAUGCCGCGUGCAGGAAGAAGGCCUUAUGGGUCGUAAACUGCUUUUAUUUAGGAAUAAACCCCCGAACGUGUUCGGGGCUGAAGGUACUAAACGAAUAAGCACCGGCUAACUCCGUGCCAGCAGCCGCGGUAAUACGGAGGGUGCAAGCGUUAUCCGGAUUUAUUGGGUUUAAAGGGUGCGCAGGCGGGCUAUUAAGUCAGUGGUGAAAUCCCGGGGCUCAACUCCGGAACUGCCAUUGAUACUGAUAGUCUUGAGUUUGGUUGAAGUGGGCGGAAUGUAGCAUGUAGCGGUGAAAUGCAUAGAUAUGCUACAGAACACCAAUCGUGAAAGCAGCUCACUAAGCCAAAACUGACGCUCAUGCACGAAAGCGUGGGGAUCAAACAGGAUUAGAUACCCUGGUAGUC
rnacentral:rRNA from 1 species